CCUACGGGUGGCACCAGUGGGGAAUAUUGCACAAUGGGCGCAAGCCUGAUGCAGCCAUGCCGCGUGUAUGAAGAAGGCCUUCGGGUUGUAAAGUACUUUCAGCGGGGAGGAAGGUGUUGAGGUUAAUAACCUCAGCAAUUGACGUACCCGCAGAAGAAGCACCGGCUAACUCCGUGCCAGCAGCCGCGGUAAUACGGAGGGUGCAAGCGUUAAUCGGAAUUACUGGGCGUAAAGCGCACGCAGGCGGUCUGUCAAGUCGGAUGUGAAAUCCCCGGGCUCAACCUGGGAACUGCAUUCGAAACUGGCAGGCUAGAGUCUUGUAGAGGGGGGUAGAAUUCCAGGUGUAGCGGUGAAAUGCGUAGAGAUCUGGAGGAAUACCGGUGGCGAAGGCGGCCCCCUGGACAAAGACUGACGCUCAGGUGCGAAAGCGUGGGGAGCAAACAGGAUUAGAUACCCCAGUAGUC
rnacentral:rRNA from 1 species